GAUGAACGCUAGCGACAGGCUUAACACAUGCAAGUCGAGGGGUAACAGGGUAGCAAUACCGCUGACGACCGGCGCACGGGUGAGUAACGCGUAUGCAACCUGCCUAUAACUGGGGAAUAGCUCCCUGAAAGGGGAAUUAACACCGCAUAACACUAUUGAUUCGCAUGGAUUGGUAGUUAAAUGUAGCGAUACAGGUUAUAGAUGGGCAUGCGUGACAUUAGCUAGUUGGUGAGGUAACGGCUCACCAAGGCUACGAUGUCUAGGGGUUCUGAGAGGAAGGUCCCCCACACUGGUACUGAGACACGGACCAGACUCCUACGGGAGGCAGCAGUGAGGAAUAUUGGUCAAUGGGCGCAAGCCUGAACCAGCCAUGUCGCGUGCAGGAAGACUGCCCUAUGGGUUGUAAACUGCUUUUUAUAGUAGAAGAAACACAUCUACGUGUAGAUGUCUGCCAGUAUACUAUGAAUAAGCAUCGG
rnacentral:rRNA from 1 species